rnacentral:rRNA from 1 species
UAGGGAAUCUUCCGCAAUGGACGCAAGACUGACGGAGCAACGCCGCGUGAGUGAAGAAGGAUUUCGGUUCGUAAAACUCUGUUGUUAGAGAAGAACAGCGCAUAGAGUAACUGUUAUGCGUGUGACGGUAUCUAACCAGAAAGCCACGGCUAACUACGUGCCAGCAGCCGCGGUAAUACGUAGGUGGCAAGCGUUGUCCGGAUUUAUUGGGCGUAAAGCGAGCGCAGGCGGUCAAUUAAGUCUGAUGUGAAAGCCCCCGGCUCAACCGGGGAGGGUCAUUGGAAACUGGUUGACUUGAGUGCAGAAGAGGAGAGUGGAAUUCCAUGUGUAGCGGUGAAAUGCGUAGAUAUAUGGAGGAACACCAGUGGCGAAGGCGACUCUCUGGUCUGUAACUGACGCUGAGGCUCGAAAGCGUGGGUAGCAAACAGG